UUUAAUUGUUUUUCUUUCGGUUAAUUAGUAACUUUUUUUUCUAUUGUUAAUUAAUUGUUUUCGUUGAUUUUCUGGUGAUUUUCGUUGUAAAUGUUUUCUUUUUAAAAGAAAUUAAAAUGUUCGUUUGAGUAGAAAAAGAAAAUGGCGGUUGGAUAAUUUGUUCUUUUCUGUGUUUUCUAUUCUCUUUUUUGUUUAUUGUUCUUAUUCUUUGGUUUGAUUGUUUGUGUUGACCGAUUCUCUUUGGAAUUGAUUUAAUCAACCUGAUUGCUGAUUGUUCUAAUUGGAUUGGUUUUCUUUCUCUUUCCAUCUUCUCAUUUUCAAGAUUUGGUGUUCUUUGAAUCAAUCACUUUCACCAUAUAACAUGAGGGUUUUAGGAUCAUCCAAGAAGAAAGAUAUCAUCAAUCGUCAAAGAGCAUACAAACAACAACGUGUUUACGGUAACAACAACAAUCACCAACACCAUAACAACAACAAUUACUAUUAUGAACCUAAUUAUGGUCCCUCCAAUCACAAUUAUCACAAUUACAAUCAUAACAACUUGAUGAUGAAUUGCCAUUUUGACAGGAUGAUUAUGAAUCAAGAGAUGACCAAUCGAUGUGAACAAACUGGAUUGAAUAAUAAACAUUCAAGUGUGGAAAAUUAUUGGACAUCAAUUGCCUUCCAUAGACCACAAGAUUCACUUUUUGGUAAUUCAAUUUUACCCAUUCUACCAAGGAUUUGUCUCAAUUAAUUGUUAUCCUCAUCAUCAUCAUCACCACUGCCAAUCAACACGAUCUUCAGUUGAAUCUCUCACCCUCUUACUUUUCUUCAAGUUGAUGAUGUCCAGUUGAUUAAAAUAAAUUAGAUUAUUGUUAUAACACAUGGUGAGUGUGUAUGUGUUUAUGGUGUGCUGGUCAGUAAAACCUUUUCUUGAUGAGAUAAUCAUCUUUACACCCAAGAAAAAUCAACCAAUCAAAAUUCAGGAUGGAAAUAUUAUCAUCUGAACAAUCAUCAGAAUUACCAGAAACUUCAAUAUAUUGGAACCAUUAACAGCAAGUUACCUUCGUCAAAAGUUAUCAAAUCUCUUGAGAUAAUCAACUUUAAUCUCCCAAUAUAUAAAUUUAAUUAUAAUCCAAAGAAAAGAAAUUAACCUCAACUCAGAUUAAAUCAUAACAAAAGAAUUAACCGUAACAUGGUGAAUCUUUUGUUCUAAAUGAUUAGUCAAUUAGUUUCUUUCCGUCGAUUACUAGUCUACACAUAAUCAACCAAAAGCUCAACGUAAAGUAUAAAUUGUUAUAAUCUAAUUGACAGAAAUGUCUUCUCCUCGCUAAUUGUAACCUAAAUUAAGUCUUUCACCCUUAUUAUUAUUCCUAUUUAUUAUGUACUAACUUUUUUUCCUAUUGUAACAAUCAAUUUAUUGUUUUCCUUUGUUAUUCAAUUUGUUGGAUUCAAGUGUUUCCUCAGUAUCAAAAUUAAUGAAAAAAAGGAAACAAUCAAUAAGAUGAAUGUAAAAUUGUAUCUCUAUGAUUAGAUUAUCGAUCUUGAGACAAUUAAUUUCAUGAA